rnacentral:misc_RNA from 1 species
AGUUCGAUCAUGGCUCAGAUUGAACGCUGGCGGGAUGCUUUACACAUGCAAGUCGGGUAGCGGCACGGACUUCAGUCUGGUGGCGAAGAGUGGCGAACGGGUGAGAGUAAUGUAUCGGAACGUGCCUAGUAGCGGGGGAUAUUACGCGAAAGCGUAUACCGCAUACGCCCUUCGGGGAAAGCGGGGGACCUUCGGGCCUCGCACUAUUAGAGCGGCCGAUAUCGGAUUAUUUAGUUGGUGGGGUAACGGCUCACCAAGGCGACGAUCCGUAGCUGGUUUGAGAGACGACCAGCCACACUGGGACUGAGACACGGCCCAGACUCCUACGGGAGGCAGCAGUGGGGAAUUUUGGACAAUGGGGAAACCCUGAUCCAGCCAUCCCGCGUGUGCGAUGAAGGCCUUCGGGUUGUAAAGCACUUUUGGCAGGAAAAGAAACGGCACGGGAUAAUACCCCGUGCAACUGACAGCUACCUGCAGAAUAAGCACCGGCUAACUACGUGCCAGCAGCCGCGGUAAUACGUAGGGUGCAAGCGUUAAUCGGAAUUACUGGGCGUAAAGCGUGCGCGGGCGGUUCGGAAAGAAAGAUGUGAAAUCCCAGAGCUUAACUUUGGAACUGCAUUUUUAACUACCGAGCUAGAGUGUGUCAGAGGGAGGUGGAAUUCCGCGUGUAGCAGUGAAAUGCGUAGAUAUGCGGAGGAACACCGAUGGCGAAGGCAGCCUCCUGGGGAUAACACUGACGGCGCUCAUGCACGAAAGCGUGGGAGCAAACAGGAUUAGAUACCCUGGUAGUCCACGCCCUAAACGAUGUCAACUAGCUGUUGGGGCCUUCGGGCCUUGGUAGCGCAGCUAACGCGUGAAGUUGACCGCCUGGGAAGUACGGUCGCAAGAUUAAAACUCAAAGGAAUUGACGGGGACCCGGAAACAGCCCGUAU